rnacentral:lncRNA from 1 species
GCCUAUAAAUUAUAUAUUAUUCUAUAAUACACAUAUUUUUACUAAUAAAAUAAAAUUCUUCGAAACAUAUGUAAGUGGGGUCUAGUUUUGUUCGUCUCGUCGCAUAGAACACAGUGAUGCAAACACAAAUAAAAAUAGAUACACUUUUUAGAAGUUAUAACAUUUUGAAAUAAAUGUUUUGCUUUUUUCAACAUGACAUCAGCGAUGAUGUCAACGCAGGGGAGGGAGUUAAACUCUAUCGUUUGUUGUUGGAUGGUUCGCUGGGAAAAGAAAAGAAAACGAGAACGGAAAAGGAAAAAAAAAGACGCGGUCGGAUCGUUCGCUGGGAAAGAAAACUCUGAACGACCCGAAAAGUGGAAUUGGGAUCGUUUUUGCACGAUAGAAUAUGCGAAGAUUAACAAACACACACACGGAAUAAGAGUGCAAGAUAACCGGACGUGGGAGAUCGAUCUGUUCAGAUCGCUUUACAUGUUGGAAACUUGGAAUCAUCAAUGAUUCUGUAGGCCAGUAAUCGUUGUAGAUAUGAACAUGGCAAAAUCAGCUCGCC